GCCUAUUCCCUCUCUCCCUCACUCGCUCUCUUCCCCGCAUCUCGCAACCGAAGCACGUCGCCAUGGCCGACCUCGUCCACGCGCCCAGCCUCGUCCCCGACGCUCGAACACUUGUUCAAGAGCUUCACCGGCCUCUGCUACACCGUCUACGACCGCGGGAUCAAGCUCAACGCUCCUACACCGUGCGGAUUGAGUCAUCCCCCUUUACUGCCCCGCCGAUGCCAUCGCCGAAUCCGCACCAACCCGACCACCCCGACGCCUCCGAGCCAUCCCUAUACUCUGAUAUAAUCAAGCCUCCCUUCUUUUGUUUCAAGAAGACUGAAGAUUUCCCUAAAGUCAGGCUUCACUAUAAGAGUGAGGGUUGUGUGCAUGAGAGCAGUUUUUUCUUUCACACCACAAUCUUUCACCAACUUCAUAACCUCCAAAAUGGUAGGGACAAGGUUGGUUGGAGGAGGAGCCGAUGAUGCUUCAACACUAGAGGUUUCUCCAAAGGAACCACAUUAUCAUCACUUGAUUCAUCAGAAGAUAUAUCUCCAGCACAAGAAGCACUAGCCCCUGUGACAUGUACUUUGUGAAAUAUGACAUGUAAAUCUUCAAGGUGCUUCGGAC